UCUUUAAAAUCACAAGCGCCCAAAUUGGUCCGUAAGCCUUUUUCUGUCUCAUUAUUAAACGAAGCCGUUUUAGCGUCUCAAGCUAGCUAGCUCUGACAUUCGAAAGCCUAGGCUCGAUUGGCCUUUUAUUCUCUCCGGACCAGCACACUGACACCGUUUAUCAGCGCCUCCGCCUCUGCCGCCGCUGUUUGCCCAUCUCAUCUGUUGCCUUGUCUACCACCACCCAUCGCUUUUCAGUGAGGAAAGCAGCAGAGUCGCCUAGCAUGGUGGCAAAAGUUCGCUAUCUGUGCUCUAGCGAGAAGAGAAUGUUUCCUCCAGCUUGAACUCAAUAAUGACCACUAAGAUCCUUCAAAGUAGAGCUACUCUUCAUUGUUUAAUUUCAUCCUCAAAAUCAAUCCUCACUCAUGCAGGUGCAAGACGUCAUUUCCUGUCCACAAAUCCAAAAUCCCCAAAUCAGUCCCUAUACAGAAAACAGAUUUCUCUUGCCAAUCUCUUCCAGAGGUAUGGUUUCCCGCCAUCCCAACUCCACGGUUUCAUCAGUUCAAAUCACUUUCUUUUAAAUUCCAAUUUGCCUGACAUUGAGAAGUCUCUGGGUAUUCUCUUAUCAUUCAAAAUCCCACAGCAAUUGAUUGUGUCUCUGAUUAUUGAAUGUCCUGGGGUUUUGGAAUUUGAUUUUUUGAAGAAAUGGGAAAGAGGGUUUUCAAAUUCUGGGGAUUUGAGCAUUUCUCCAUUGGUGAUAAAGGGUGUUUUGGCACAUUCUAAAAGACUCCAGAUUGAUCCAGAUUGGUUGUAUAAGAGUGUGAACGUUUUAAAGGGUUUGGGUCUUAGUGAAGGUACUAUAAGGAAGGUAUUAGAGGGUUUUCCUGGAGUGAUUACGUUGAAGAAAAGUGAGGUACAUAAGAGAAUUGAGUUCUUAUUGCAAAUUGGGAUUUAUAGAGAUGAAGUUGAUAGGAUUUUGAAUUCAUAUCCCGAGGCUUUAAGAUUUGGGGUUGAAAAUAGGCUGAUGCCAUUGGUUGAUGAGUUUGAGGAUUUGGGUUUUAGCAAAGAUUAUAUCACAAAAGAGAUUAUGAAGGAGCCACAGAUUCUUGGUAUGGAAUUAGGUGAACUUGCAAGGUGUCUCGAAUUGCUUCGUUCUUUGAAAUGUCGGGAAGCAAUUAAAUUAAGGAUUUUUAAGGAUGGAGCAUUUAGAUCUGGAUUUGAAGUAAAACUUAGAGUUGAUUGCUUGUGCAAACAUGGUUUGAUUCGUAGAGAAGCAUUUAAGGUUUUGUGGAAAGAACCAAGGGUGAUUAUUUAUGAUUUAGAGGACAUUGAGAAGAAGAUUGAAUUUUUGGUUAACACAAUGAGAUAUAAUGUUGGCUGCUUGGUUGAAGUUCCGGAGUAUUUGGGUGUGAAUUUUGAGAAACAGAUUCUUCCUCGCUACAAUGUGAUUGAGUAUUUGCGUGCAAAAGGUGGGCUUGGUGAUGAAGUGGGACUGAAAGGUAUGAUAAAGUUGAGUAGGCUUAGAUUCUAUAAUCUAUAUGUGAAGCCAUAUCCUGAGUGUGAAAAAAUGUUUGGGAGGUUUUCAGGUGAUGUUCAGGUUAAAAGACAACGUCCAGUUGGCCUAUGGAAGCUAUUUAAACCACAAAUGCACCCAGAUUCAAAAGAAGAAUUGAAACAUAUAAAGUCUUUUAUGGAAGGCCUUGUUUAGUUGAAAUGAGUGCUUCUAAUGGUUCUUCAUCAUUGCAAUUGGAAUGAUCCUGCAUUGGCUUGUUCCUCUUCUAAUAUUUGGGAAUGGAACAAUUGUUAACUGCUGAUGUUCAUCUACUUCAUAUUAAAGAAUUGCCAUGCUAUUGCAACGUACUUGUCAAAAUAUAUUGGACUGGGUUGGCACUUGAUUUGAUAAUGCCAGCAACAGACAAGGAAUUUCAAUCUAUUGGUUGGAGUAUUUUUUUUCUGAGAUGUUGGUAGUUGUCCAAGUGUCAAUAGAAUUUUCCUCGGAGGUGAAGCCCACCGGCUGAAAUAUUCUUCAUGUAUUAAGCUACAUAAAACCGUAGAGUGCAAGUUUACACUGAGUUCUUUCAUGGUGAGGCAUCGAUGGAAGGUGAGCCAAGCCAAACUGGAGUUGCUUUUCUUGUUGAGUUGAAAUUUCACUGACACAGAGACCCUAGAGGAGUAGGCGACAGAGUAAAACUUCCUUGCAGACACAUGCAUUCAUUAGCCGAUGCCUCUGUGCAGCUAAUUUGUGCAUUUUUAUUUUUCUUAUUUGGAAUUUUUUGUUUUAAGGACAGUCAAAACCAGCAAAACCAGUGCAGGACAGUCAAAUUAAACAAGAAUGAAAACAUGGAACAGAGAAUGAUAAUAAGUAGAUUGAAAUUAACGAUAAUUAUGAAUGAAAUUAAUCCUAAUUUAGGGUUUCUAAAAUU